rnacentral:rRNA from 1 species
AGUGAACGCUGGCGGUAGGCCUAACACAUGCAAGUCGAACGGCAGCACAGUAAGAGCUUGCUCUUACGGGUGGCGAGUGGCGGACGGGUGAGGAAUACAUCGGAAUCUACUUUUUCGUGGGGGAUAACGUAGGGAAACUUACGCUAAUACCGCAUACGACCUACGGGUGAAAGCAGGGGAUCUUCGGACCUUGCGCGAUUGAAUGAGCCGAUGUCGGAUUAGCUAGUUGGCGGGGUAAAGGCCCACCAAGGCGACGAUCCGUAGCUGGUCUGAGAGGAUGAUCAGCCACACUGGAACUGAGACACGGUCCAGACUCCUACGGGAGGCAGCAGUGGGGAAUAUUGGACAAUGGGCGCGAGCCUGAUCCAGCCAUACCGCGUGGGUGGAGGAGGCCUUCGGGUUGUAAAGCCCUUUUGUUGGGAAAGAAAAGCAGCAGGUUAAUACCCCGCUGUUCUGACGGUACCCAAAGAAUAAGCACCGGCUAACUUCGUG